rnacentral:rRNA from 1 species
CCUACGGGUGGCAGCAGUGGGGGAUAUUGCACAAUGGGGGAAACCCUGAUGCAGCGACGCCGCGUGUGGGAAGACGGUCCUCUGGAUUGUAAACCACUGUCCCCAGGGACGAAGAUGACGGUAGCGGGGGAGGAAGCUCCGGCUAACUACGUGCCAGCAGCCGCGGUAAUACGUAGGGAGCGAGCGUUGUCCGGAAUUACUGGGUGUAAGGGGAGCGUAGGCGGGACUGCAAGUUGGGUGUCAAAUCUACCGGCUCAACCGGUAGCCGCACUCAAAACUGCAGUUCUUGAGUGAAGUAGAGGCAGGCGGAAUUCCUAGUGUAGCGGUGAAAUGCGUAGAUAUUAGGAGGAACACCAGUGGCGAAGGCGGCCUGCUGGGCUUUUACUGACGCUGAGGCUCGAAAGUGUGGGGAGCAAACAGGAUUAGAUACCCUGGUAGUC